rnacentral:rRNA from 1 species
CACGUAGGGUGCGAGCGUUGUCCGGAAUUAUUGGGCGUAAAGAGCUCGUAGGUGGUUUGUCGCGUUGUUCGUGAAAACUCACAGCUUAACUGUGGGCGUGCGGGCGAUACGGGCAGACUGGAGUACUGCAGGGGAGACUGGAAUUCCUGGUGUAGCGGUGGAAUGCGCAGAUAUCAGGAGGAACACCGGUGGCGAAGGCGGGUCUCUGGGCAGUAACUGACGCUGAGGAGCGAAAGCGCGGGGAGCGAACAGG